rnacentral:rRNA from 1 species
CCCUUAGAUGUCCUGGUCCGCACGCGUGCUACACUGAUGCAUACAGCGAGUACUUUCCAGCUCCGCGAGGCAGCUGGUAAUCAGCAAUAUGCAUCGUGCUGGGGAUAGAUCUUUGGAAUUAUAGAUCUUGAACGAGGAAUUCCUAGUAAGCGCAAGUCAUUAGCUUGCGCUGAUUAAGUCCCUGCCCUUUGUACACACCGCCCGUCGCUCCUACCGAUUUCGAGUGAUUCGGUGAACCUUUUGGACAGCGUCUGUCCUCGUGUCAGAUGCUGAAAGUCAAGUAAACCAUAUCACUUAGAGGAAGGAGAAGUCGUAACA